rnacentral:rRNA from 1 species
UACAGAGGGUGCGAGCGUUAAUCGGAAUUACUGGGCGUAAAGCGCGCGUAGGCGGCUUUGCAAGUCGGGUGUGAAAUCCCCAGGCUUAACCUGGGAACUGCAUUCGAGACUGCAUUGCUAGAGUAUGGGAGAGGGAAGUGGAAUUUCCGGUGUAGCGGUGAAAUGCGUAGAUAUCGGAAGGAACAUCAGUGGCGAAAGCGACUUCCUGGACCAACACUGACGCUCAUGUGCGAAAGCGUGGGGAGCAAACAGG